CACGGGGGGAGCAAGCGUUGUUCGGAUUCAUUGGGCGUAAAGGGCUCGUAGGUGGCUUUGUAAGUCGGAGGUGAAAUCCCACGGCUCAACCGUGGACACGCCUUCGAAACUGUGAAGCUUGAGUCCGGAAGAGGCGAGUGGAAUUCCUGGUGUAGCGGUGAAAUGCGCAGAUAUCAGGAGGAACACCAAUGGCGAAGGCAGCUCGCUGGGACGUGACUGACGCUGAGACGCGAAAGCGUGGGGAGCAAACAGG
rnacentral:rRNA from 1 species